rnacentral:rRNA from 1 species
ACACGGUGGAUGCCCUGGCAGUCAGAGGCGAUGAAGGACGUGCUAAUCUGCGAAAAGCGUCGGUAAGGUGAUAUGAACCGUUACAGCCGGCGAUGUCCGAAUGGGGAAACCCAGUGUGAUUCGUCACACUAUCGUUAACUGAAUACAUAGGUUAACGAGGCGAACCGGGGGAACUGAAACAUCUAAGUACCCCGAGGAAAAGAAAUCAACCGAGAUUCCCCCAGUAGCGGCGAGCGAACGGGGAGCAGCCCAGAGUCUGAAUCAGCUUGUGUGUUAGUGGAACGGUCUGGAAAGUCCGACGGUACAGGGUGAUAGUCCCGUACACCAAAAUGCACAGGCUGUGAACUCGAAGAGUAGGGCGGGACACGUGGUAUCCUGUCUGAAUAUGGGGGGACCAUCCUCCAAGGCUAAAUACUCCUGACUGACCGAUAGUGAACCAGUACCGUGAGGGAAAGGCGAAAAGAACCCCGGCGAGGGGAGUGAAAAAGAACCUGAAACCGUGUACGUACAAGCAGUGGGAGCACCUUCGGGUGUGACUGCGUACCUUUUGUAUAAUGGGUCAGCGACUUAUAUUCUGUAGCAAGGUUAACCGUAUAGGGGAGCCGCAGGGAAACCGAGUCUUAACUGGGCGUUAAGUUGCAGGGUAUAGACCCGAAACCCGGUGAUCUAGCCAUGGGCAGGUUGAAGGUUGGGUAACACUAACUGGAGGACCGAACCGACUAAUGUUGAAAAAUUAGCGGAUGACUUGUGGCUGGGGGUGAAAGGCCAAUCAAACCGGGAGAUAGCUGGUUCUCCCCGAAAGCU